GAUGAAGAACGUAGCGAAAUGCGAUAAGUAAUGUGAAUUGCAGAAUUCAGUGAAUCAUCGAGUCUUUGAACGCACAUUGCGCCCCCUGGCAUUCCGGGGGGCAUGCCUGUCCGAGCGUCAUUGCUGCCCUCAAGCACGGCUUGUGUGUUGGGCCCCCGUCCCCGGUUUCCCCCGGGGACGGGCCCGAAAGGCAGCGGCGGCACCGCGUCCGGUCCUCGAGCGUAUGGGGCUUUGUCACCCGCUCUGUAGGCCCGGCCGGCGCCAGCCGACACCCAACUUUAUUUCUAAGGUUGACCUCGGAUCAGGUAGGGAUACCCGCUGAACUUAAGCAUAUCAAUAAGCGGAGGA
rnacentral:misc_RNA from 1 species